rnacentral:rRNA from 1 species
CCUACGGGUGGCAGCAGUGAGGAAUAUUGGUCAAUGGACGCAAGUCUGAACCAGCCAUGCCGCGUGCAGGAAGACGGCUCUAUGAGUUGUAAACUGCUUUUGUACGAGGGUAAACGCAGAUACGCGUAUCUGUCUGAAAGUAUCGUAAGAAUAAGGAUCGGCUAACUCCGUGCCAGCAGCCGCGGUAAUACGGAGGAUUCAAGCGUUAUCCGGAUUUAUUGGGUUUAAAGGGUGCGUAGGCGGUCGGAUAAGUUAGAGGUGAAAUCCCGAGGCUCAACUUCGGAAUUGCCUCUGAUACUGUUCGUCUAGAGAGUAGUUGCGGUAGGCGGAAUGUAUGGUGUAGCGGUGAAAUGCUUAGAGAUCAUACAGAACACCGAUUGCGAAGGCAGCUUACCAAGCUACUUCUGACGUUGAGGCACGAAAGCGUGGGGAGCAAACAGGAUUAGAUACCCUUGUAGUC